rnacentral:pre_miRNA from 1 species
AUCCCCUGAGGAUCUUGUUAAAAUGCAGAUUCUGGUUUAGUAGGUCUGGGUGGGCUCCAAGAGUCUGCAUUUCUACCAAGAUCUCAAAUGAUGCCCA